rnacentral:rRNA from 1 species
AACGAACGCUGGCGGCAGGCUUAACACAUGCAAGUCGAACGGGCGUAGCAAUACGUCAGUGGCAGACGGGUGAAUAACACGUGGGAACCUUCCUCGUAGUACGGAACAACUCAGGGAAACUUGAGCUAAUACCGUAUACGUCCGAGAGGAGAAAGAUUUAUCGCUAUGAGACGGGCCCNCGUCCGAUUAGCUAGUUGGGUGGGUAACGGCCGUACCAACGGACAACGAUCGGUAGCUGANCUGAGAGGAUGAUCAGCCACA